rnacentral:rRNA from 1 species
GACGAACGCUGGCGGCGUGCUUAACACAUGCAAGUCGAACGGAAAGGCCCUGCUUUUGUGGGGUGCUCGAGUGGCGAACGGGUGAGUAACACGUGAGUAACCUGCCCUUGACGUUGGGAUAACUUCAGGAAACUGGUGCUAAUACCGGAUAGGAGCUCCUGCUGCAUGGUGGGGGUUGGAAAGUUUCGGCGGUUGGGGAUGGACUCGCGGCUUAUCAGCUGGUUGGUGGGGUAGUGGCUUACCAAGGCUUUGACGGGUAGCCGGCCUGGGAGGGUGACCGGCCACGUUGGGCCGGAGCUACGGCCCAGACUCGAACGGGAGGCAGCGGUGGAGAAUAUUGUACAAUGGGCGGAAGCCUGAUGCGGCAACGCCGCGAGCGGGAAGACGGCCAUGGGGUUGUAAACCGCAUUCGCCUGUGACGAAGCGUGAGUGACGGUAAUGGGUGAAGAAGCACCGGCUAACUUCGUG